rnacentral:rRNA from 1 species
GCUUGUCUCAAAGAUUAAGCCAUGCAUGUCUAAGUACAAGCCUCAGUAAGGUGAAACCGCGAAUGGCUCAUUAAAUCACACCUAAUCUACUGGAAAGUUACUAGUUACUUGGAUAACUGAGGUAAUUCUAGAGCUAAUACAUGCUGUAAAGCCCGACUUCUCGGAAGGGCCGUAUUUAUUAGAUAACAGACCAAUAUUCCUCGUGUCUAUUGUGGUGAAUCAUAGUAACUGAUCGGAUCGCAUGGGCUACGCCCGCGACAAACCAUUCAAGUUUCUGCCCCAUCAGCUUUCGAUGGUAGUGUAUUGGACUACCAUGGCUUUUACGGGUAACGGAGGAUUAGGGUUCGAUUCCGGAGAGGGAGCCUGAGAAACGGCUACCACAUCUAAGGAAGGCAGCAGG